CCUUACGACUCCUGACCAGCAGAUGAGCAAGACCCCAUCAUCCAGCUCUCUCUCCCAGCGCAUGAAGAAUGCAACUCUCAAUGCAAUCACUCCAAAGUUUUCUAGCAGGAGCAGAGCUGCAGUCAGCGUCCCUCGCCAGGGGCACUUCUUCGUCUCUCCUCUCCUGAAGUAGCCCUGAAGCUCCUCAAGGCUGAGUUUUUCUUUUCUUUGGGAAACAGCUGCAAUAUAUUACAUUAUCCUACUUGCAUAUUAUGUCUGGUUUGUCCAUCAGUUUGAACCAUAUUAACACUACUCUUUUUAUCUGUCGAGUUUUCUAGUAACAUUUGUAUUUUAGUCGCUUUUAAAUGUUUUAAUGUACUGUUAACAUUCUCACAACCAAAGCGAUGGGCUGAUAUAAGCACUUCCAUCAGUCACUGAAUCCUCUAUUAACAACAGAAUAUGCAUCAGUUUGGGAGUUCUUUAUCAAGAAACCUGAACUUGGUUGUAGCAUCUAGAACAAAAAAGGUUAUGCUGUAUGCGAGAUUUGUAUAUAGUAUAAUCUGUGUAUUGCUUGUAUAUUGUGUGUUUUACAUGGAACGACAAGCAAAAUCUCAAUCUCUUAGAGGGUUCAAGGCUUUAGUGACUAUCAGGUUUUUCUAUGUAGAGUGUAAACUGUGUUUUUAAACACAGUCAAGCUUAGAUUUUACAGCCAGUAGGUUUAAUACAGAAUUUAAGAUGAUGCUGCUGCUGAUGUUAAAAUGAAUGAUGCUGAUGUUUAAAUUAUCCAUUUGUUGUUUGAGAUACACUGUGCUUUUGAACCGUCUAAGAUUUGUGCGUAGAGAGGUUCAAGACAAGAAAAUUGAGAAUUCUAUGCAAUUUGUAUGCGAAAACACUAUUGGUUGUUUUGAUUGGGCAUUUUGUCUUUUAGCUUCAUAAUUGCUUUUGAUCAUAAAUGAACAUGGCCAGAAUUCUUUUAGACUUUCACUAUGGCAUUGAUUUAUGUCU